GCGCCAGAAGAUGCCAUUGGCAAACAAGAAACUGGGAAGCCUGUUAGUUAUACAUGCAACGCUGUCAAGUAGUCGGUGCUUGAUCUCAAAAGUCAUGAGAUAUCCUAAAAUCCACGAUAAGAUGCCAGGUUGAGGUUAUUAGAUCUCCACCCAGAAGCCCAGCCCGAGUUUUCCACAUGUCUGCUUUCUAAGUGCUCUACAUAUGGCUGCAAAAAAUCAAAACUUUUCCCCGCAACCAAUUGUAUAAUUCAUAUCAGUAUCAGGGAGCUUGCGCGGUAUUUAUUUGAAUAGAA
rnacentral:misc_RNA from 1 species